rnacentral:rRNA from 1 species
CCUACGGGUGGCAGCAGUGAGGAAUAUUGGUCAAUGGCCGGAAGGCUGAACCAGCCAAGCCGCGUGAAGGACGAAGGUGCCAAGCAUUGUAAACUUCUUUUGUCAAGGGACAAAAUCAGGCUCGUGAGCCUGACCGCGGGUACUUGAAGAAAAAGCAUCGGCUAACUCCGUGCCAGCAGCCGCGGUAAUACGGAGGAUGCGAGCGUUAUCCGGAUUUAUUGGGUUUAAAGGGUGCGUAGGCGGGCUGUUAAGUCAGCGGUAAAAGCCCGGGGCUCAACCUCGGCAAGCGGUUGAAACUGGCUGUAUUGAGAGGUCGAGAGGUAUGCGGAAUGCGCGGUGUAGCGGUGAAAUGCUUAGAUA